rnacentral:lncRNA from 1 species
ACAGAAUGUAAAGCAUGAAAGAAAUGCUCCAGUUUUUAUAUAACUUUUUAUUUUGGCAUGCAACAAUCAGUACUUCAACUUAAAGGAAUGAGGAAGAUGGGGAUUGCAGACAUUUUGUAAUUAAGGUUAAAUGAGGUCUUAAGGAUGGGUCCCUUAUCCAACAGGAUUUGUGUCCUUAUAAAAAGAGAAUACCAGACAUGUCUGUCUUGCUUCACCAUGUGAGGACAUGGUAAGAAAGAGGCCAAGUGAACGCCAGGAAGAGAGCUCUCACCAGGAACUGAAUCAGUCAAAACUUUGAUCUAGGACUUCUAGCCUCCAGAACUGCAGAACCAUCUUGGACACAUGAGUUACACCCUAUGGAUAUUUCAGCAGAGAGCUAAAGGAGCCUGAAUGCCUAUGAAAUUCAAAAUGUGCCAUACUGGUCUUGUGCUACAUAUCUCUGGAAUUCUUAUGCACGCUCAAGGAGGACUGCUGCCUCCCCAAUCUACUGAAGUUAGGUGUGGUCAUAUGAUUUUCCAUGUCAGUAAAAUGUGAGUGGAAGUGACAGGGGUCACUUCCAGGUGAAACAUUUAAAAACUAGUGAGAGAUUCUCCAUGAUCCUUUUCCCUUCUGCCACCAUGAUCGACAGUAUUCCAAAUGAUGGUGCAUUCACACUCUGGGUCCUGGAGUGAGGAUGGUAUGCAGUGGGAGUUAGCUAACUACAGCCUGUGGUCACCUGUUUUUGUAAAUAAAGCUUCAUUGGA